CCUACGGGAGGCAGCAGUGGGGAAUAUUGGGCAAUGGAGGAAACUCUGACCCAGCAACGCCGCGUGAAUGAUGAAGGUCUUCGGAUUGUAAAGUUCUUUUCUAUGGGAAGAAGAAAGUGACGGUACCUUAGUAAUAAGCCUCGGCUAACUACGUGCCAGCAGCCGCGGUAAUACGGAGGAGGCAAGCGUUAUCCGGAAUGACUGGGCGUAAAGGGUGCGUAGGUGGUUCAGCAAGUUAGUAGCGUAAUUCCGUGGCUCAACUUCGGCACUACUACUAAAACUGUUGGACUUGAGUGCAGGAGGGGCAACUGGAAUUUGUAGUGUAGCGGUGGAAUGCGUAGAUAUUAGGAAGAACACCGGUGGCGAAGGCGAGUUGCUGGACUGUAACUGACACUGAGGCACGAAAGCGUGGGGAGCAAACAGGAUUAGAUACCCCAGUAGUC
rnacentral:rRNA from 1 species